UACGUAGGGUGCAAGCGUUAAUCGGAAUUACUGGGCGUAAAGCGUGCGCAGGCGGUUAUGCAAGACAGAUGUGAAAUCCCCGGGCUUAACCUGGGAACCGCAUUUGUGACUGCAUAGCUGGAGUACGGCAGAGGGGGAUGGAAUUCCGCGUGUAGCAGUGAAAUGCGUAGAUAUGCGGAGGAACACCGAUGGCGAAGGCAGCCCCCUGGGCUAACACUGACGCUCAUGCACGAAAGCGUGGGGAGCAAACAGG
rnacentral:rRNA from 1 species